CCCUGAACAAAUCAACAUUCAUACAAUGCAGAAUGGCACACUGAGUCCUGCUCCACUUCCAUCCCCAAAUUCCAAACUGUGGAUUGGGUGGGGCUGUCUGUAGCAAUGCUGAUCAGUGAGUAUGCAGCAGAAGGCUAAUUCUUUUUGCCUUCCACUGAUAGUGUUAUAAUACUUAUAAAGCAUGACAUGUCGGCUACAAUUACUGCAGUGGGGUCAUCUACCAGAAAUAGAAAAAAAUGCAGAGGCAAGAACGCUUGAAAUUUGCCACUACAAGUCUACCAGUACAACUUCCACUAAAUGCCUGAUACUUAUCAUAUUUUCAAAAGAAGCUCAAACCGCUUUUCUUGUUCUAGUACUCCAGACUCCAACUGAGUGAUCCAUUUCUGCUGGUUUGGCAACCCAGUUACAGGGCCAGCAGCCCCAUGGACAACUUGCAGCGAAUGGACUAAAUAAAGUAUAGCUGGCCUCCCAGCUCAGAACAACAGAGUCGCUCCCAGAACUCAGUUGUAAGGGGUUUCUUCUUUUAUGUUACUGCGUAGUCUAAUUAAAAUGGCUUCUUUGUUAUGUUAUAAUUGAAAUGGCUUCUUUGUUAUGUUAACUGCUGAGAAAGUCCUCCCGCUAGCAGCUUAUUUGGAUCAUGUUACUGAUAAGAGGGUGAACAAACCAAUUGGAAUAGACGUUAUUCUUUCUGAGUGUCUGUAGGUUAGUGUGAUGCGCGGGUUUUUGUGCAGAAGGCGGGAGAGAGAGAGAGACAGAGGAUGGACCAGGUGCAGUGUGCUAACGGGGUCGGACCCCAAGCAGGAGUCCGAGGUCCAGGGUGUUCGGCAAGGAGAGGAGACAGAGACGGACUUGUGUGGAGCGUCUGCUCGACCACCGUUGAUGGUCCCAGGCGGCAGGUCGAGGUGGUCCAAGGGAAUCGCAGAGUGAAGGAGGGGCCCGAGCUCCAACUGUUUGUGCAUGAAGAGAUUGAACUUUGAUAAG